UCCGGGCGUCAACGAAGGCGAUAACAGUAUUUUCAAACGCAACUGCAACAAUUAUGAUAUCCAUAUCUGAGACCUUACCUGAAAAGACUUGGCAAUCGAAUAAAACGUUUUCUUCAAUGGAAUAGGGAAUUGCAAUUGUUUCCCUUUCACGAGGAAUUCCCAGUAAGCGUGAGUCAUUAGCUCGCGUUGAUUACGUCCC
rfam:Trichinella spiralis unplaced genomic scaffold Scfld5, whole genome shotgun sequence.